rnacentral:rRNA from 1 species
UUGAUUACGUCCCUGCCCUUUGUACACACCGCCCGUCGCUGCCCGGGACUGAGCCAUUUCGAGAAAUUUGGGGACCGUUGAUUAAACAUUUACUUGUUUUUUUGAUGGAAACCAAUUUAAUCGCAGUGGCUUGAACCGGGCAAAAGUCGUAACAAGGUAGCUGUAGGUGAACCUGCUGCUGGAUCAUUA